rnacentral:rRNA from 1 species
AGUGAAUAGAUACCCGGGUAGUCCACGCCCUAAACGAUGUCAACUGGUUGUUGGGAAUUCACUUUCUCAGUAAACGAAAGCUAAACGCGUGAAGUUGACCGCCUGGGAGUACGGCCGCAAGGUUAAACUCAAAGGAAUUGACGGGACCCGCACAAGCGGUGGAUGAUGUGGUUUAAUUCGAUGCAACGCGAAAAACCUUACCCACCUUUGACAUGUACGGAAGUUGCCAGAGAUGGCUUCGUGCUCGAAAGAGAGCCGUAACACAGGUGCUGCAUGGCUGUCGUCAGCUCGUGUCGUGAGAUGUUGGGUUAAGUCCCGCAACGAGCGCAACCCUUGCCAUUAGUUGCUACGAAAGGGCACUCUAAUGGGACUGCCGGUGACAAACCGGAGGAAGGUGGGGAUGACGUCAAGUCCUCAUGGCCCUUAUAGGUGGGGCUACACACGUCAUACAAUGGCUGGUACAAAGGGUAGCCAACCCGGCGAGGGGUAGCCAAUCCCAUAAAGCCAGUCGUAGUCCGGAUCGCAGUCUGCAACUCGACUGCGUGAA